GAGGGUAUGGCUCAAGUAGUAGAGUGCAUGCCUAGGAUGCAUGAUGUUCUGGGUUUGGUUCCCAGUACCUCUU
rnacentral:tRNA from 1 species